rnacentral:rRNA from 1 species
AAGGUUGCUUCGGUAACUGACCUAGCGGCGGACGGGUGAGUAAUGCUUAGGAAUCUGCCUAUUAGUGGGGGACAACGUUCCGAAAGGAACGCUAAUACCGCAUACGCCCUACGGGGGAAAGCAGGGGAUCUUCGGACCUUGCGCUAAUAGAUGAGCCUAAGUCGGAUUAGCUAGUUGGUGGGGUAAAGGCCUACCAAGGCGACGAUCUGUAGCGGGUCUGAGAGGAUGAUCCGCCACACUGGGACUGAGACACGGCCCAGACUCCUACGGGAGGCAGCAGUGGGGAAUAUUGGACAAUGGGCGGAAGCCUGAUCCAGCCAUGCCGCGUGUGUGAAGAAGGCCUUUUGGUUGUAAAGCACUUUAAGCGAGGAGGAGGCUCCUUUAGUUAAUACCUAAAGAGAGUGGACGUUACUCGCAGAAUAAGCACCGGCUAACUCUGUGCCAGCAGCCGCGGUAAUACAGAGGGUGCGAGCGUUAAUCGGAUUUACUGGGCGUAAAGCGUGCGUAGGCGGCUUUUUAAGUCGGAUGUGAAAUCCCUGAGCUUAACUUAGGAAUUGCAUUCGAUACUGGAAAGCUAGAGUAUGGGAGAGGAUGGUAGAAUUCCAGGUGUAGCGGUGAAAUGCGUAGAG